CGAGGAGGCAGGAGCAGCCGCCCCUCUAGUCCCUGUCUCAGCCCAGCCGGUUGUGUCUGCAUGGGGCUGGGCAUUCCACCCACUCGUCAGUCCUCGCCGCGAGCCAAUCCUCAUCCCAAGGCCCCAUCCCACCGGACCUGUCGUCUGGGAGCCACUGAACGUGUGACACCUCACACAGGGAUCGGAGAGCAGGAGCCCCGGAGGCCAGUCAGAGCUGGGUAUGAAGGACAGGCCCUCUGUCUUAAUGACUGACUGACUCGCAGACAUGGCUUUCAACAACAUGGUCGGUCCUAGAGGAGGAAGUGAUGCUCUAACAGUCACACGACCCAACACACGUCUGUUCACAGGUAGCCAUGUAAACCCCAUUGGAGAUGUAGGUUUGAAGAGAAGCAGAGGAAAUCCUCCACCCAACCCAGAGAAGCCCUCUCCAGGUCAGCAGCAACAUUGGAGUACCCUACUACCUGACAGGCUGACUGGUGCUCCAGACAAAGGGUGUCCCCUACCAUCCAUCCAUCUAUAGGCCACAGGUUGGGACCUGAAAGACGUGCCAGACCCUCUGCCAAACGUCGUCCUCCACCUCGCCCUGCAGACAUUGGUAUAUACACACGCAAAACACACACACGCACAUGAAACACACACACAACAUGAAACAUACUAAUCUUCCUCAUUAACACACAUAGUUUCCCAAUUACACCCAUCUGUGCAUGCUUGCAAACACACACAUACACACACUCUUUCGACAUCAUUCACUCAUUCACAUCCAUACCCAUGUAAACACCUUUACUCCUUCACAGUCAAUCUCCCUCACACACACAAACAAACUGUUUUUCAUGGUUUGGGCUAGACCCCUUAGUUCCAGUGAAGGGAAAUAUUAACGCUACAGUAUACAAUUACAUUCUAGACUAUUCCGUGCUUCCAACUUUGUUGCAACAGUUUGGUGAAGGCUCUUCCCUGU
rnacentral:lncRNA from 1 species